ACAGAAAAGACUCAUUUAUUAGCCAAAAAAUAUACAACGAAACCAUAUUGUUUGAUAGUCUAAAUAAUGAAAAGGGAGACGCAUGGGUUUACGUAUCGCCUAACAAAAGGACUGAUGAAUGUGCUAACGAACGGAAUAGUAAACGGACUAGUAAACGGGCUAGUGAACAGGCUAGUGAACGGACUAGUGAACCGACUAGUGAACGAACUAGUGAACGGAUGGGCGAACAUACUAGUGAACAUACCAGUGAGCGGGCUAGUGAACGGACUAGUGAACGUAUUAGUGAACAGAAUAGUGAACGGACAGGCAAACGCGCGAGCGAAUUGUCUAAUUGCAAAAACAAAACUGCAGUAUAUAACGAAACGUUUGGUAAUGGAGACUUUUGGCAUAAACAUAUUGACAUAGAACGGUUGGAUUACGAACAAUCUGAUCACCAUCAAAAGAAAAAAAAAAAAAAAAUUAAACACGUAAGGGUGCGCACGCAUAUGGAAGAUACGGAUAUUGAAUGGUUUUAUAAUAAUUAUAAAAGUUUUGAUAAUUUUUUAAGUGAAAAAAGUUUGGAAGAAAGCGAUUUUGUGUUUUUUAAAAACACGAAAGAUGAAGGUACGAAGAAAUCGUUGGGAGGUAACUUUUUUGAAAAUAUAUUUAAGCAUUUGGAAAGUGUGCAUGCGACUAGACAUUUGGAUAGACAUACGGAUGGACAUAUGAAUGGACAUAUGGAUGGACAUAUGGAUGGACAUAUGGGUGGACAUAUGGAUAGACACACAACUGGUAGCACAGCUUUCCAAACCAAUUGUACAUACAUAGAUCGUACAAACAUAACAUAUGAGAUAAAACCAUCAGUAGAAAAAAACAAAUCUACUAUUACACAGUCGGCGUGUGAAAACAUGCUAAGAGAAGGGUACGAAAAAAUUUUAAGUUAUUAUAAAUUGAAUAGAGAAAUAUACAUAAAUGAUUGCAUAAAUAAAAAAUCAGAAAUGUUAAUAAUUUUACAGCAUUAUAAAAAUAUAAUGAAUUUUUAUGAAAAUGAAGAAACAACAGAUGAUAAUUAUGAACAGGCUAAUACAAAUUAUUAUAAAAAAAAUUAUAAUUUUGAAAAAUCUUUUUAUUUGGGUGAAUUAAUGUCAGAAACGGAUUGUUUUAUUAUAGCUCAUAAUAAAAAUAUAAUAAGAAAUCAUUUCCAUAUAGUAAAAAAAGAUUAUUUAAACAUUUGUCUGGAUUUAUUAGUGACAGUAGAUUUGUAUAUGGAAUCGAAAGUAGAUAUAUAUAAUAGACCAUUUUAUUUUAUUAAAAAUUUGAUUAUUACAUGUGCAAAAAUUAGUUUCUCAAGAUAUUU
rnacentral:lncRNA from 1 species